rnacentral:rRNA from 1 species
GAUGAACGCUGGCGGCGUGCUUAACACAUGCAAGUCGAACGGAAAGGCCUCUGCUUGCUGGGGUACUCGAGUGGCGAACGGGUGAGUAACACGUGGGUGAUCUGCCCUGCACUUCGGGAUAAGCCUGGGAAACUGGGUCUAAUACCGGAUAGGACAAUGGUUUGGAUGCUGUUGUGGAAAGUUUUUCGGUGUGGGAUGAGCUCGCGGCCUAUCAGCUUGUUGGUGGGGUAAUGGCCUACCAAGGCGUCAACGGGUAGCCGGCCGGAGAGGGUGUACGGCCACAAUGGGACUGAGAUACGGCCCAGACUCCUACGGGGGGCAGCAGUGGGGAAUAUUGCACAAUGGGCGCAAGACUGAUGAAGCGACGCCGCGUGGGGGAUGACGGCCUUCGGGUUGUAAACUCCUUUCGCUAGGGACGAAGCGUUUUUGUGACGGUACCUGGAGAAGAAGCACCGGCUAACUACGUG